rnacentral:rRNA from 1 species
GACGAACGCUGGCGGCGUGCCUCAUACAUGCAAGUAGAACGCUGAAGGAAGGAGCUUGCUCUUUCCGGAUGAGUUGCGAACGGGUGAGUAACGCGUAGGUAACCUGCCUGGUAGCGGGGGAUAACUAUUGGAAACGAUAGCUAAUACCGCAUAACAGUAGAUAUCGCAUGAUAGCUGCUUGAAAGGUGCAAUUGCAUCACUACCAGAUGGACCUGCGUUGUAUUAGCUAGUUGGUGAGGUAACGGCUCACCAAGGCAACGAUACAUAGCCGACCUGAGAGGGUGAUCGGCCACACUGGGACUGAGACACGGCCCAGACUCCUACGGGAGGCAGCAGUAGGGAAUCUUCGGCAAUGGACGGAAGUCUGACCGAGCAACGCCGCGUGAGUGAAGAAGGUUUUCGGAUCGUAAAGCUCUGUUGUAAGAGAAGAACGAGUGUGAGAGUGGAAAGUUCACACUGUGACGGUAUCUUACCAGAAAGGGACGGCUAACUACGUGCCAGCAGCCGCGGUAAUACGUAGGUCCCGAGCGUUGUCCGGAUUUAUUGGGCGUAAAGCGAGCGCAGGCGGUUAGAUAAGUCUGAAGUUAAAGGCUGUGGCUUAACCAUAGUACGCUUUGGAAACUGUUUAGCUUGAGUGCAAGAGGGGAGAGUGGAAUUCCAUGUGUAGCGGUGAAAUGCGUAGAUAUAUGGAGGAACACCGGUGGCGAAAGCGGCUCUCUGGCUUGUAACCGACGCUGAGGCUCGAAAGCGUGGGGAGCAAACAGG